UACAGAGGGGGCUAGCGUUGUUCGGAAUUACUGGGCGUAAAGGGCGCGUAGGCGGCCCUCUAAGUCGAACGUGAAAUCCCCGGGCUCAACCCGGGAACUGCGUCCGAUACUGGCAGGCUUGAAUCCGGGAGAGGGAUGUGGAAUUCCAGGUGUAGCGGUGAAAUGCGUAGAUAUCUGGAGGAACACCGGUGGCGAAGGCGGCAUCCUGGACCGGUAUUGACGCUGAGGCGCGAAAGCCAGGGGAGCAAACGGG
rnacentral:rRNA from 1 species